UUUCUGAGGAGUAUAAGCUUGUUCCAGAUACACUUUACCUCACGAUAUAUUUCAUCGACCGGUUUCUCUCUCAAAACUACAUUGAAAGACAAAAGUUCCAGCUGCUUGGUGUUAUCUGCAUGCUAAUUGCCUCGCUAUAUCUCAAUACAGUCAACCUAUCCCUUGCAGCACUUUUAACAAUGAUGUUUCUUUCCUCUUUAAUGGAAUGUGAAUCUAUCUUCUGACCUGGGCUUUUAUUUAUUUAUUUAUGGGUGUAAAACCCGGCUUUUCAACAGCAAUUUGCAUAAAUCUUUUCAAUGAUCCUGUUUGAAUGAUUCACUAAAAUAAUUGUCCUUCCAGGCAGUACUUCGUUAAUUGUAGUUAUUAAGGAGAUGCUAAGUCAUCGAUUCAAGUUGUUGUCUGUUAAAUUUUAAUUUUUUGAGGGCCUCUUUCUGGAUUGAGCACAGUUCAAAAAUCAUAUGGAUGUAUCCUUGGAAAUAUGUCUUCCUUGAUGUUCUGACAUGUAGUCCACUGGUGAGGUCUGCUAAUCCAACUCAUGUCUAUACAUCUCUAUACAACAGCUCAUAUACAUGGAACAGACGAAUUGUUAUGGACAACACAACAUAUAUCAUAGCUCAAAAUACUGACUCUGUGACAGUUAACUCACCAGCGAACAAUUCUUGAUCAAAACACUUGAAAGAAAGUUCACCAAUCACAGAAUCUACAGUGUCCCAUAACUUGGGUUUUUUUUUUAAUCACUGUUCUCCAGGUAGAGACAGCAGAGACUGUAACAUGCAUGAAUGAAGCAGGUUGGGUCCCUAGAUGUCUUACUCUUGCCUUGUAAACCUCACUUGGUAAUUUUUAAAAAAGAAAAAAGAAAGUGCUCAUCUGGUUCAGGCCAAGGCUCUUGAGUGGGAUUUGGAAUGGGUCAGGCCCAUCUCAGCUUGGAAGGUAGGCGGGUAGCUGAAAGCCCUACCAACUGUCAUCCAUGAUUUGCCAGUAAACUCCAAAUGCUACCUCAAAAAUAGAAGAAUAGUUCUCUUAUAUGUUUGAAUAUUUUCAAAUCUUUCAUGAUUCCACAGGCAAUUAUUCAUCCAGAAGUAAUUAUUUUUAAAUAUUUGAUUUGUUAGCUAGUAUAGGCAGCCUUUAUUGGGGAAUGUAAUGCAUCAUGAAUGCCAUGAAGCUGGAGCUGGAGUAUUCAUGUAUUUGAAGUGUUGCUUACAUGGUUCAAGAGUAUCCAUGUU